UGGGGAAUAUUGCACAAUGGGGGAAAGCCCUGAUGCAGCAACGCCGCGUGAAGGAAGACGGUUUCGGAUUGUAAACUUCUGUUCUUAGUGAAGAAUAAUGACGGUAGCUAAGGAGCAAGCCACGGCUAACUACGUGCCAGCAGCCGCGGUAAUACGUAGGUGGCAAGCGUUGUCCGGAAUUACUGGGUGUAAAGGGAGCGCAGGCUGGAGACCAAGUCAGCUGUGAAAACUACGGGCUUAACCUGUAGACUGCAGUUGAAACUGGUUUUCUUGAGUGAAGUAGAGGUUGGCGGAAUUCCGAGUGUAGCGGUGAAAUGCGUAGAUAUUCGGAGGAACACCGGUGGCGAAGGCGGCCAACUGGGCUUUAACUGACGCUGAGGCUCGAAAGUGUGGGGAGCAAACAGGAUUAGAUACC
rnacentral:rRNA from 1 species